rnacentral:rRNA from 1 species
ACUCCUACGGGAGGCAGCAGUGGGAAUAUUGCACAAUGGGAAGCCAUCGAUGCAGCCAUGCCGCGCUGUGUGAAGAAGGCCAAUUCGGGCUUUGGUUAAAGACACUUUCAGUAGGGAGGAAGGUAGUGUAGUUAACACCUGCAUUAUUUGACGUUACCUACAGAAGAAGCACCGGCUAACUCCGUGCCAGCAGCCGCGGUAAUACGGAGGGUGCGAGCGUUAAUCGGAAUUACUGGGCGUAAAGCGCAUGCAGGCGGCCUGUUAAGUCAGAUGUGAAAG